CCUACGGGUGGCAGCAGUAGGGAAUUUUCGUCAAUGGGCGCAAGCCUGAACGAGCGAUGCCGCGUGAGUGAAGAAGGCCUUCGGGUCGUAAAGCUCUGUUGCGGGGGAAAAAAGGCAGCAUGAGGAAAUGUGUGCUGAUUGAUGGUGCCCCGCCAGAAAGCAACGGCUAACUACGUGCCAGCAGCCGCGGUAAUACGUAGGUGGCGAGCGUUAUCCGGAAUUAUUGGGCGUAAAGGGAACGCAGGCGGUCCUGUAAGUCUGGAGUGAAACGCAUGGGCUCAACCCAUGCAUGGCUUUGGAGACUGGAGGACUGGAGAGCAGGAGAGGGCGGUAGAACUCCAUGUGUAGCGGUAAAAUGCGUAGAUAUAUGGAGGAACACCAGUGGCGAAGGCGGCCGCCUGGCCUGAUGCUGACGCUGAGGCACGAAAGCGUGGGGAGCAAAUAGGAUUAGAUACCCUUGUAGUC
rnacentral:rRNA from 1 species